rnacentral:rRNA from 1 species
CACGUAGGGCGCGAGCGUUGUCCGGAAUUAUUGGGCGUAAAGAGCUCGUAAGCGGUUUGUCGCGUCUGCUGUGAAAACCUAAGGCUCAACCUUGGGCUUGCAGUGGGUACGGGCAGACUAGAGUGCGGUAGGGGUGACUGGAAUUCCUGGUGUAGCGGUGGAAUGCGCAGAUAUCAGGAGGAACACCGAUGGCGAAGGCAGGUCACUGGGCCGCAACUGACGCUGAGGAGCGAAAGCAUGGGGAGCGAACAGG